AUUGAACGCUGGCGGCAGGCCUAACACAUGCAAGUCGAGCGGAGGAAGGGAGCUUGCUCCUGGAUUCAGCUGCUGACGGAUGAGUAAUGCCUAGGAAUGUGCCUUGUAGUGGGGGAUAACGUCCGGAAACGGGCGCUAAUACCGCAUACGUCCUGAGGGAGAAAGCGGGUGGUCUUGGGACCUCACGCUAUCAUAUGAUCCUAGGUCGCAUUCGCUAGUUUGUGGGGUAAAGGCCUUCCAAGGCGACCAACGGUAACUGGUCUGAGAGGAUGAUCAGUCACCCGGGAACUGAGACACGGCCCCGACUCCUACGGGAGGAAGCAGUGGGGAAUAUUGGACGAUGGGGCAAAGCCUGAUACAGCCAUGCCGCGUGUGUGAAGAAGGUGUUCGGCUUGGAAAGCAAAUUAGGUUGGGAGAAAGGACAGUAAGUUCAUAACUUGCUGUUUUGACGUUACCAACAGAAAAAGCACCGGCUAACUUCGUG
rnacentral:rRNA from 1 species